CACGUAGGGCGCAAGCGUUGUCCGGAAUUAUUGGGCGUAAAGAGCUCGUAGGCGGUCUGUUGCGUCUGCUGUGAAAACUCGGGGCUUAACCCCGAGCCUGCAGUGGAUACGGGCAGACUAGAGGUAGGUAGGGGAGAAUGGAAUUCCCGGUGUAGCGGUGAAAUGCGCAGAUAUCGGGAGGAACACCGGUGGCGAAGGCGGUUCUCUGGGCCGUAACUGACGCUGAGGAGCGAAAGCAUGGGGAGCGGACAGG
rnacentral:rRNA from 1 species